GGCUUCGUAGCUCAGCAGGAUAGAGCAGUGGUUUCCUAAACCAAAGAUCGCGCGUUCGAAUCGCGCCGGGGCCA
rnacentral:tRNA from 7 species